GCGGCGGACGGGUGAGUAACACGUGGGCAACCUGCCCUGCAGACUGGGAUAACUUCGGGAAACCGGAGCUAAUACCGGAUAACACCGAAAACCGCAUGGUUUUCGGUUGAAAGGCGGCUUUUAUCUGUCACUGCAGGAUGGGCCCGCGGCGCAUUAGCUAGUUGGUGAGGUAACGGCUCACCAAGGCGACGAUGCGUAGCCGACCUGAGAGGGUGACCGGCCACACUGGGACUGAAACACGGCCCAGACUCCUACGGGAGGCAGCAGUAGGGAAUCUUCCGCAAUGGACGAAAGUCUGACGGAGCAACGCCGCGUGAGCGAAGAAGGUCUUCGGAUCGUAAAGCUCUGUUGUCAGGGAAGAACAAGUGCCGUUCGAACAGGGCGGUACCUUGACGGUACCUGACGAGGAAGCCACGGCUAACUACGUGCCACCAGCCGCGGUAAUAC
rnacentral:rRNA from 1 species